rfam:Salmo salar isolate Sally breed double haploid chromosome ssa07, whole genome shotgun sequence.
UACAUGCAUGACUGUAAGUCGCUUUGGAUAAAAGCGGCUGCAAAAGGGCUUUUA